UGGGGAAUAUUGCACAAUGGGCGAAAGCCUGAUGCAGCAACGCCGCGUGAGUGAUGAAGGUCUUCGGAUUGUAAAGCUCUGUCUUUUGGGACGAUAAUGACGGUACCAAAGGAGGAAGCCACGGCUAACUACGUGCCAGCAGCCGCGGUAAUACGUAGGUGGCGAGCGUUGUCCGGAUUUACUGGGCGUAAAGGGUGCGUAGGCGGAUGUUUAAGUGAGAUGUGAAAUACCCGGGCUUAACUUGGGUGCUGCAUUUCAAACUGGAUAUCUAGAGUGCAGGAGAGGAGAAUGGAACUCCUAGUGUAGCGGUGAAAUGCGUAGAGAUUAGGAAGAACACCAGUGGCGAAGGCGAUUCUCUGGACUGUAACUGACGCUGAGGCACGAAAGCGUGGGUAGCAAACAGGAUUAGAUACCCUGGUAGUCCACGCCGUAAACGAUGAGUACUAGGUGUAGGAGGUAUCGACCCCUUCUGUGCCGCAGUAAACACAUUAAGUACUCCGCCUGGGAAGUACGAUCGCAAGAUUAAAACUCUAAAGUGAAUUGAC
rnacentral:rRNA from 1 species